rnacentral:rRNA from 1 species
UGCACAAUGGAGGAAACUCUGAUGCAGCAACGCCGCGUGGAGGAUGACGCAUUUCGGUGUGUAAACUCCUUUUAUAUAGGAAGAUAAUGACGGUACUAUAUGAAUAAGCACCGGCUAACUCCGUGCCAGCAGCCGCGGUAAUACGGAGGGUGCAAGCGUUACUCGGAAUCACUGGGCGUAAAGCGCAUGCAGGCGGUUUAUUAAGUUGGAAGUGAAAUCCUAUGGCUCAACCAUAGAACUGCUUCCAAAACUGAUAAACUAGAGUCUGGGAGGGGAAGAUGGAAUUAGUAGUGUAGGGGUAAAAUCCGUAGAGAUUACUAGGAAUACCAAAAGCGAAGGCGAUCUUCUGGAACAGUACUGACGCUGAGAUGCGAAAGCGUGGGGAGCAAACAGGAUUAGAUACCCUGGUAGUCCACGCAGUAAACGAUGAAUGUUAGUCGUUGGGACUCUAGUAGUUUCAGUGAUGCAGUUAACACAUUAAACAUUCCGCCUGGGGAGUACGGUCGCAAGAUUAAAACUCAAAGGAAUAGACGGGGACCCGCACAAGUGGUGGAGCAUGUGGUUUAAUUCGAAGAUACGCGAAGAACCUUACCUAGCCUUGACAUACUACAGAAUUUGACAGAGAUGUUGAAGUGCCUUCGGGAGCUGUAAUACAGGUGCUGCACGGCUGUCGUCAGCUCGUGUCGUGAGAUGUUGGGUUAAGUCCCGCAACGAGCGCAACCCUCGUCCUUAGUUACUAACGGUUCGGCCGAUGACUCUAAGGAGACUGCCUUCGUAAGGAGGAGGAAGGUGAGGACGACGUCAAGUCAUCAUGGCCCUUACGGCUAGGGCAACACACGUGCUACAAUGGUUAGGACAAUGAGAAGCGAUACCGCGAGGUGGAGCAAAUCUAUAAACCUAAUCUCAGUUCGGAUAGCAGUCUGCAACUCGACUGCUUGAAGCUGGAAUCACUAGUAAUCGUAAAUCAGGUAUGUUACGGUGAAUCGU